rnacentral:lncRNA from 1 species
GUGAAUAUGUUACAUUACAUGGCAAAGGAGAAUUAAGUUUGCUAAUCAGCUGUCACUAAGAUAUGUGAAAGAGUGGAAGAGAGAGGCAGCAGGGUCAGUGUCAGAGUGAUUUGAUGUGAGGAAGAUUCAUCCAGCUAUUUCUGGGUUUGACGAUGGAGGGAAGGGCCAUGAGCCAAGGAAUGUAGGUAGCCUCUAGAAGCUGAAGAAAGUGAGGAAAUGGAUUCUGCCCUGUAGAGACUUCAGAAAGGAGUGUUACCCUGCCAAUACCUUGAUUUCAGCCUUGUGAGACUCAUGUCAGACUCCUGACCUACACAAAGCAAAGUGGUCAUCAAAGGCAGCAGGCGUUUGAGUUCUGAAUGCAAGCAGAAGAGUCUUCCCUCCCUCCAGAGAUGUCCGUCAACUGCGUCCCGGUCCAAGAAGGUGGGCCACGCAGGCGAGAACGGGGACCACGUGUGCGGAGCAGGGCCACGGCUGCCACAGCCAGCAGCCAUUCCCUGGGCCAACAGCACAGACGAAGGUGGCUCCAGGAUCCAGAAUCAGGCGCGGACGGUGGAGGAAGCUCUCAUUCCAGAAUGUGAAUUUAG